rnacentral:rRNA from 1 species
AUUGAACGCUGGCGGCAUGCCUGACACAUGCAAGUCGAACGCGAAAGUGGGGGCAACCCUGCGAGUAGAGUGGCGAACGGGUGAGUAAUACAUCGGAACGUACCCAGGAGUGGGGGACAACCUCGAGAAAUCGAGGAUAAUACCGCAUACGUCCUGAGGGAGAAAGCGGGGGAUUCGCAAGGACCUAGCGCUCAUGGAGAGGACGAUGUCGGAUUAGCUAGUUGGCGGGGUAAAGGCCCACCAAGGCUACGAUCCGUAGCUGGUUUGAGAGAACGACCAGCCACACUGGGACUGAGACACGGCCCAGACUCCUACGGGAGGCAGCAGUGGGGAAUUUUGGACAAUGGGGGCAACCCUGAUCCAGCCAUGCCGCGUGAGUGAAGAAGGCCUUCGGGUUGUAAAGCUCUUUCGGCCGGAACGAAAUCGCGUACGUGAAUAACGUGCGUGGAUGACGGUACUGGAAGAAGAAGCACCGGCUAACUCCGUGCCAGCCGCCGCAGUAACAC